CCUUGAAUUCCAUUUGUGUUUGGCUGAAACUGCAGAGGCUGAACCUGUGAAUGCAGAGGGCAAACUGUACUAAGCCAUUUUAUAUAACAGACCUGAGCAUCCACUGAUUUUAGUAUCCAUGGGGCUCCUGGAACCAAUCCUCCAUGAUUUCCUGAGGUCUGCAGCCAUAAUGAGGGUCCUAGUCGCUGUAUCAUAAGGCAAUAAGACUGAGAGGCAAGCCCUCCUGAACAGUGACCGACAGCAUGAGAAAUCCAAAAGCAUAAUUGAAAGGCAAGACCAAGGAGCAGUGUUUCCAGGGGCGAGUUGGGAGGCAAAAAGAAAGAAGUACCUCUCGCGGGUUCCAACUUGCAGCGAGCAUCGCGGUCUUCGCAGCAGAAUUGCAAGCCAAGAUCAGGGGAAUGGAUGAAAAAAAAUCUUUUAAAAACAAGAUCCUUGCUCCUUUAUGGUAAUUAAAAGCAAUAAAUAUUCUUGCCCACAAUGCUAAAAAUCUCAAAUAGCCCAUGGGUCAAUACUGUUUCCUUGGUGAGGAUGGUAAUAAAUCUUU
rnacentral:lncRNA from 9 species